UUUUGGACAAUGGGCGAAAGCCUGAUCCAGCAAUGCCGCGUGCAGGAUGAAGGCCUUCGGGUUGUAAACUGCUUUUGUACGGAACGAAACGGUUCUCCUUAAUACGGGGGGCUAAUGACGGUACCGUAAGAAUAAGCACCGGCUAACUACGUGCCAGCAGCCGCGGUAAUACGUAGGGUGCGAGCGUUAAUCGGAAUUACUGGGCGUAAAGCGUGCGCAGGCGGUUAUAUAAGACAGUUGUGAAAUCCCCGGGCUCAACCUGGGAAUUGCAUCUGUGACUGUAUAGCUAGGGUACGGUAGAGGGGGAUGGAAUUCCGCGUGUAGCAGUGAAAUGCGUAGAUAUGCGGAGGAACACCGAUGGCGAAGGCAAUCCCCUCGACCUGUACUGACGCUCAUGCACGAA
rnacentral:rRNA from 1 species